rnacentral:rRNA from 1 species
GUUGACCUCGGAUCAGGUAGGACUACCCGCUGAACUUAAGCAUAUCAAUAAGCGGAGGAAAAGAAACCAACAGGGAUUGCCCCAGUAACGGCGAGUGAAGCGGCAACAGCUCAAAUUUGAAAUCUGGCCCCAGGCCCGAGUUGUAAUUUGCAGAGGAUGCUUCUGGCGCGGUGCCUUCCGAGUUCCCUGGAACGGGACGCCAUAGAGGGUGAGAGCCCCGUACGGUUGGACACCAAGCCUUUGUAAAGCUCCUUCGACGAGUCGAGUAGUUUGGGAAUGCUGCUCUAAAUGGGAGGUACAUUUCUUCUAAAGCUAAAUAUUGGCCAGAGACCGAUAGCGCGCAAGUAGAGUGAUCGAAAGAUGAAAAGCACUUUGAAAAGAGGGUUAAACAGCACGUGAAGUUGUUAAAAGGGAAGCGCUUGUGACCAGACUUGCGUCCGGUGAAUCACCCAGCUCUCGCGGCUGGGGCACUUCGCCGGCACAGGCCAGCAUCAGCUUGCCGUCGGGGACAAAAGCUUCAGGAACGUGGCUCCUUUCGGGGAGUGUUAUAGCCUGUUGCAUAAUACCCUUCGGCGGGCUGAGGUACGCGCUCCGCAAGGAUGCUGGCGUAAUGGUCAUCAGCGAC